rnacentral:rRNA from 1 species
UACGGAGGAUGCGAGCGUUAUCCGGAUUUAUUGGGUUUAAAGGGUGCGUAGGCGGGAUGCCAAGUCAGCGGUGAAAAUGCGGUGCUCAACGCCGUCGAGCCGUUGAAACUGGCGUUCUUGAGUGGGCGAGAAGUAUGCGGAAUGCGUGGUGUAGCGGUGAAAUGCAUAGAUAUCACGCAGAACUCCGAUUGCGAAGGCAGCAUACCGGCGCCCUACUGACGCUGAGGCACGAAAGCGUGGGUAUCGAACAGG